UGAACGCUGGCUACAGGCUUAACACAUGCAAGUCGAGGGGCAGCAUGGUCUUAGCUUGCUAAGGCCGAUGGCGACCGGCGCACGGGUGAGUAACACGUAUCCAACCUGCCGUCUACUCUUGGACAGCCUUCUGAAAGGGAGAUUAAUACAAGAUGGCAUCAUGAGUCCGCAUGUUCACAUGAUUAAAGGUAUUCCGGUAGACGAUGGGGAUGCGUUCCAUUAGAUAGUAGGCGGGGUAACGGCCCACCUAGUCUUCGAUGGAUAGGGGUUCUGAGAGGAAGGUCCCCCACAUUGGAACUGAGACACGGUCCAAACUCCUACGGGAGGCAGCAGUGAGGAAUAUUGGUCAAUGGGCGAGAGCCUGAACCAGCCAAGUGGCGUGAAGGAUGACUGCCCUAUGGGUUGUAAACUUCUUUUAUAAAGGAAUAAAGUCGGGUAUGGAUACCCGUUUGCAUGUACUUUAUGAAUAAGGAUCGGCUAACUCCGUGCCAGCAGCCGCGGUAAUACGGAGGAUCCGAGCGUUGUCCGGAUUUAUUGGGUUUAAAGGGAGCGUAGAUGGAUGUUUAAGUCAGUUGUGAAAGUUUGCGGCUCAACCGUAAAAUUGCAGUUGAUACUGGAUAUCUUGAGUGCAGUUGAGGCAGGCGGAAUUCGUGGUGUAGCGGUGAAAUGCUUAGAUAUCACGAAGAACUCCGAUUGCGAAGGCAGCCUGCUAAGCUGCAACUGACAUUGAGGCUCGAAAGUGUGGGUAUCAAACAGGAUUAGAUACCCUGGUAGUCCACACGGUAAACGAUGAAUACUCGCUGUUUGCGAUACACAGCAAGCGGCCAAGCGAAAGCGUUAAGUAUUCCACCUGGGGAGUACGCCGGCAACGGUGAAACUCAAAGGAAUUGACGGGGGCCCGCACAAGCGGAGGAACAUGUGGUUUAAUUCGAUGAUACGCGAGGAACCUUACCCGGGCUUAAAUUGCAGAUGAAUUACGGUGAAAGCCGUAAGCCGCAAGGCAUCUGUGAAGGUGCUGCAUGGUUGUCGUCAGCUCGUGCCGUGAGGUGUCGGCUUAAGUGCCAUAACGAGCGCAACCCUUGUUGUCAGUUACUAACAGGUUCCGCUGAGGACUCUGACAAGACUGCCAUCGUAAGAUGUGAGGAAGGUGGGGAUGACGUCAAAUCAGCACGGCCCUUACGUCCGGGGCUACACACGUGUUACAAUGGGGGGUACAGAGGGCCGCUACCACGCGAGUGGAUGCCAAUCCCCAAAACCUCUCUCAGUUCGGACUGGAGUCUGCAACCCGACUCCACGAAGCUGGAUUCGCUAGUAAUCGCGCAUCAGCCACGGCGCGGUGAAUACGUUCCCGGGCCUUGUACACACCGCCCGUCAAGCCAUGGGAGCCGGGGGUACCUGAAGUGCGUAACCGCGAGGAGCGCCCUAGGGUAAAACUGGUGACUGGGGC
rnacentral:rRNA from 1 species